UGGGGAAUAUUGCACAAUGGGCGCAAGCCUGAUGCAGCCAUGCCGCGUGUGUGAAGAAGGCCUUCGGGUUGUAAAGCACUUUCAGCGAGGAGGAAGGUGGUGAACUUAAUACGUUCAUCAAUUGACGUUACUCGCAGAAGAAGCACCGGCUAACUCCGUGCCAGCAGCUGCGGUAAUACGGAGGGUGCAAGCGUUAAUCGGAAUUACUGGGCGUAAAGCGCACGCAGGCGGUUUGUUAAGUCAGAUGUGAAAUCCCCGGGCUCAACCUGGGAACUGCAUUUGAAACUGGCAAGCUAGAGUCUCGUAGAGGGGGGUAGAAUUCCAGGUGUAGCGGUGAAAUGCGUAGAGAUCUGGAGGAAUACCGGUGGCGAAGGCGGCCCCCUGGACGAAGACUGACGCUCAGGUGCGAAAGCGUGGGGAGCAAACAGGAUUAGAUACCCUGGUAGUCCACGCUGUAAACGAUGUCGAUUUGGAGGUUGUGCCCCUUGAGGCGUGGCUUCCGGAGCUAACGCGUUAAAUCGACCGCCUGGGGAGUACGGCCGCAAGGUUAAAACUCAAAGGAAUU
rnacentral:rRNA from 1 species